CGGCAACAGCUCAAAUUUGAAAUCUGGCCUCUUUGGGGUCCGAGUUGUAAUUUGUAGAGGAUGUUUCGGGUACCGCCUCGGUUUAAAUUUCUUGGAACAGGACAUCACAGAGGGUGAGAAUCCCGU
rnacentral:rRNA from 1 species